AAUGAACGUUGGCGGCGUGGAUCAGGCAUGCAAGUCGCGCGGACCAGCAAUGGUUAGCGGCGAAAGGGAGAGUAACGCGUGGGUUAUCUGCCUCUUGGGCCAGGAUAGCUGCGGGAAACUGCAGGUAAUACUGGAUAAUGUCUUCGGACCAAGGGUGUGAUUCCGCCGGGAGGUGAGCCCGCGUCCUAUUAGCUAGUUGGUGAGGUAAUGGCUCACCAAGGCUUAGAUGGGUAGGGGGUGUGAGAGCACGACCCCCCUCACUGGGACUGAGACACUGCCCAGACACCUACGGGUGGCUGCAGUCGAGGAUCUUCGGCAAUGGGCGAAAGCCUGACCGAGCGACGCCGCGUGUGGGAUGAAGGCCUUCGGGUUGUAAACCACUGUCGUAGAGGAGGAAAUUCUGGGGGGUUCUCCCCUCAGUUUGACCUAUUCUAGGAGGAAGUCAGGGCUAAGUUCGUGCCAGCAGCCGCGGUAA
rnacentral:rRNA from 1 species